rnacentral:rRNA from 1 species
CCUACGGGGGGCAGCAGUGAAGAAUAUUGGUCAAUGGACGAGAGUCUGAACCAGCCAAGUAGCGUGAAGGAUGACUGCCCUAUGGGUUGUAAACUUCUUUUAUAUGGGAAUAAAAUGUUCCACGUGUGGGAUUUUGUAUGUACCAUAUGAAUAAGGAUCGGCUAACUCCGUGCCAGCAGCCGCGGUAAUACGGAGGAUCCGAGCGUUAUCCGGAUUUAUUGGGUUUAAAGGGAGCGUAGGUGGAUUGUUAAGUCAGUUGUGAAAGUUUGCGGCUCAACCGUAAAAUUGCAGUUGAAACUGGCAGUCUUGAGUACAGUAGAGGUGGGCGGAAUUCGUGGUGUAGCGGUGAAAUGCUUAGAUAUCACGAAGAACUCCGAUUGCGAAGGCAGUUCACUGGACUGCAACUGACACUGAGGCUCGAAAGUGUGGGUAUCAAACAGGAUUAGAUACCCUUGUAGUC